UACAGAGGGUGCGAGCGUUGUCCGGAAUCACUGGGCGUAAAGGGCGCGUAGGUGGCGCUCCAAGUCUGUGGUGAAAGCUCGACGCUCAACGUCGAGUCGGCCAUAGAGACUGGAGGGCUCGAGCACUGUAGGGGCAGAUGGAAUUCCGGGUGUAGCGGUGGAAUGGCGUAGAGAUCCGGAAGAACACCGGUGGCGAAGGCGGUCUGCUGGGCAGUUGCUGGACACUGAGGCG
rnacentral:rRNA from 1 species